AUUGAACGCUGGCGGCAGGCCUAACACAUGCAAGUCGAGCGGAUGAAGAGAGCUUGCUCUCUGAUUUAGCGGCGGACGGGUGAGUAAUGCCUAGGAAUCUGCCUGGUAGUGGGGGAUAACGUUCCGAAAGGAACGCUAAUACCGCAUACGUCCUACGGGAGAAAGCAGGUGACCUUCGGGCCUUGCACUAUCAGAUGAGCCUAGGUCGGAUUAGCUAGUUGGUGAGGUAAUGGCUCACCAAGGCGACGAUCCGUAACUGGUCUGAGAGGAUGAUCAGUCACACUGGAACUGAGACACGGUCCAGACUCCUACGGGAGGCAGCAGUGGGGAAUAUUGGACAAUGGGCGAAAGCCUGAUCCAGCCAUGCCGCGUGUGUGAAGAAGGUCUUCGGAUUGUAAAGCACUUUAAGUUGGGAGGAAGGGCAGUAAGUUAAUACCUUGCUGUUUUGACGUUACCGACAGAAUAAGCACCGGCUAACUUCGUGCCAGCCGCCGCGGUAACAC
rnacentral:rRNA from 1 species